UACGUAGGGGGCAAGCGUUGUCCGGAAUCAUUGGGCGUAAAGAGCGUGUAGGCGGCCAGAUAAGUCCGCUGUGAAAUCUCGAGGCUCAACUUCGAGCUGUCGGUGGAAACUGUCUGGCUAGAGUCCGGAAGAGGAGAAUGGAAUUCCUGGUGUAGCGGUGAAAUGCGCAGAUAUCAGGAAGAACACCCGUGGCGAAAGCGGCGUGCUGGAUCCCUUCUGACGCUGAGGCGCGAAAGCCAGGGGAGCGAACGGG
rnacentral:rRNA from 1 species